AUUGAACGCUGGCGGCAGGCCUAACACAUGCAAGUCGAGCGGACGAACGGAGCUUGCUCCUGUCUUCAGCGGCGGACGGGCGAGUAAUGACCAGGAAUCUGCCCGGCCGAUGGGGAUAACGUACGUUAACGGGCGCUAAUCCAGUAUACGUCCAGAGGUAGAACGGGGGGGUUCUUUGGUGCUCGCGCUAUCAGAUGAGCCUAGGUCGUAUUAGCUAGUUGGUGGGGUAAAGGCCUACCAAGGCGACGAUCCGUAACUGGUCUGAGAGGGUGAUCAGUCACACUGGAACUGAGACACGGUCCAGACUCCUACGGGAGGCAGCAGUGGGGAAUAUUGGACAAUGGGCGAAAGCCUGAUCCAGCCAUGCCGCGUGUGUGAAGAAGGUCUUCGGAUUGUAAAGCACUUUAAGUUGGGAGGAAGGACAGUAAGUUAAUACCUUGCUGUUUUGACGUUACCAACAGAAUAAGCACCGGCUAACUUCGUG
rnacentral:rRNA from 1 species